CAUAAGAAAUAAGUAAUAACACUAAUAACUAAAUCUAAUUCGGUGUAAAUGUAUAAUUUUAGAUCCUGAUAGUGAAGUGAUGUGAAAAAUAUAAUUAUAUACAUUUAUAAUUAUGUUAUUUUCAUUUAUAAGAGUGAUCCAAUACCUUCGUACACAUUAAGUUAACCUAAUGAUUAGGUAACAUCAAUAGUUAAUACCAAUGUUUUUUUUGUAUCAGGAAUUUCCCUAGGUCGCUAAAAAAUUAUCUAUAUGUAACCAUUGAGAAAAUUUGAAGUAUCUGUUUUUCAAGUGAGCAGUGGAUGCAUUGGCGUGGCCAAUGAUAAUAAUUUCAGAGACAAUUGCUCUGAGAUUUUUUUAAGUAGAAAGAUGGGCGGUGGUGCAGUCAGUGAGCUCUCUAAUUAUAAAUGAAAAUGUUCUGUUCGAAAUGCCACUUGACAGAUGAGUACUUACCUGACAACAUAUAAGAUAUUUGUACGAAUUUAUCCUGGCAGUUUUAAACGAUAGAAGGUACCAUUUAAAAAAGGCAAUUUUUAUAAUAAAAAAAAAUGUUAUUUUUCAACU